GGUCGGGUGGCGCAAUGGUAGCGCGUUGUCUUCCGGUCAUGUGAUAAGCUGGCAAAGGCUCUGGGUUCGAGUCCCAGCUCGAUCG